GUCCAUUCUAGCUGAGAAUUCUUACCCCCAAAUCCUAAGAACCUGGAUGCUGAACAGGCUCUGUCCAUUCAGAUUCUUCAAAUCUCUGUCUUCACAGAUGGUAUUUUCCUCUGUAUUUAAGGGCUGGUACCUCUCCACGAGAAUUGUGUGACAUGCUUGGAACAAACAGGGAGAGAGUGGGCAGGAGUGGCCCACUCAGCGUCCACUAUUUUCCGAAAUGUCAAGCUACUAACUCUAAAAACCAAGAGUGAAAAACCAAAUUGAUGAGUAAGGAGGAGCUGUCUUGAGUGAGCAGAGAAGAUGGAGGGGCAGGCCUGGACAGCACACUGUCGCUCCUCUUACUCGGUACCUUUUGGUAGACAGUGAAUUUGGAUUCUUGGGUCUCUAGGUCUUAUCAGAUGUUCCAGAUGGGACCAGAGUCUUGAAAGGUCCCUUUCCAGUUCAAA